UAGGAAAUGCACAUUCCUGUUCUAAAGGAUGUAUUUUAUUCCUGCUCUCUUUGGAGCACAGGUGAUUGCAGCAUUCUGUGAUUGAUAUUGAGCCAGGGUCUCUCCUCAGGAGGUCUGGCCUGCUCAGAGAAGCUGNNNNNNNNNNNNNNNNNNNNCCAGGCGGAGCAGCAGUUGCAGCCCUGGCUGUCCCUGGAGCAGUGGGAGCUGCCGCUGGCCCCAGGCACUGUCCUGUGAGGAGCUGCUGAAGGACGCUGAGACUGAGGGGGCUGAGGAGGCGCUGAUGCUGAAGGGACCUUGCAAACCUUGAGGUGUGAGGGGCACUGAGGGCUGUGGGGGAGCAGAGGGCCAUGGUGGCACGGAGGUGACAGAGGCACGGGCUGAGGGCUGUGCCGGCUCUGAGGGGACACAACGGCUCAGAAGGGACUGAGCGGGGGGAGAGGCCUGGGAGAGGCCCAAGAAACUGAAGAGGGGGCUGGGGCUUUGCCGAGAGGACGGCGGGGCUGAGGGGAUGGAGGGGGCCAGGAGGGAGCACACAGAGCUCAGGGACUGCAGCUCUGCCAGGCCUUGCAACCAAUUGCCAGAGCCUCCACUUUUGCCACCACAGCUGUCCUGAAGAGCUUGAGGACAGGCAGACACUGAGAGGAGCCAGCAGGGAGAAGCUGAAGGCCUGGAGCAAGAGCAGUGAGCAGGGAUGUGCUGGGGCCACGCGAGAGCCUGGAUGUCCCAUCUGCUGUCCCUGUCCAGGAGAGCUGCUCUGCAUGGCAGGAAAACACUGAGGGAGAGGCUUUGAAGAUGGGGCGGCUGGGAUCCCUCUGAUUGUAUAUCUAUAUGUAUAUAUAUUGUGUGAAAUAUGUAAUAUUUAAUCUGUAUUUCCAUCUGUAGAUUGUUAUAUAUGUAUAUGUAGAGGUAUUUAGUUCUAUUUAAAAAUGUAUGAUGUAUAAUUCUAUCAAUCGAAUUCUAAAUACUGGGUUAUUUAGAGGAAAACACUGAUAUUUUUGUAUUUCUAUAUGGGCUGUAAGAUUGUAGUAAUCUGUAAUAAAUUAAGUUGUUAAACACCUCA
rnacentral:lncRNA from 1 species